rnacentral:rRNA from 1 species
GGUUGACCUCGGAUCAGGUAGGGAUACCCGCUGAACCUAAGCAUAUCU